UACGAAGGGGGCUAGCGUUGUUCGGAAUCACUGGGCGUAAAGGGCGCGUAGGCGGCCGAUCAAGUCGGGGGUGAAAGCCUGUGGCUCAACCACAGAAUUGCCUUCGAUACUGUUUGGCUUGAGACCGGAAGAGGUUAGUGGAACUGCGAGUGUAGAGGUGAAAUUCGUAGAUAUUCGCAAGAACACCAGUGGCGAAGGCGGCUGACUGGUCCGAUACUGACGCUGAGGAGCGAAAGCGUGGGGAGCGAACAGG
rnacentral:rRNA from 1 species